AGGAAAUAGUUUAAGUUAAAAUUUUAAUUUUGGAGAUUAAAGAUAGACUGUGUCUUUUCCUGAA
rnacentral:tRNA from 1 species